AUACGUAGGUGGCAAGCGUUGUCCGGAAUUAUUGGGCGUAAAGCGCAUGUAGGCGGUUUGGUAAGUCGGUCGUGAAAAUGCGGUGCUUAACGCCGUAUGGCGAUUGAAACUGCUAAACUUGAGUGCAGGAGAGGAAAGGGGAACUCCCAGUGUAGCGGUGAAAUGCGUAGAUAUUGGGAAGAACACCGGUGGCGAAGGCGCCUUUCUGGACUGUGUCUGACGCUCAGAUGCGAAAGCCAGGGUAGCGAACGGGAUUAGAUACCCCGGUAGUCCUGGCCGUAAACGAUGGGUACUAGGUGUGGGAGGUAUCGACUCCUUCCGUGCCGGAGUUAACGCAAUAAGUACCCCGCCUGGGGAGUACGGCCGCAAGGCUAAAACUCAAAUGAAUUGACGGGG
rnacentral:rRNA from 1 species